rnacentral:rRNA from 1 species
UCGGCCAUCCUACGGCGGAAACUCCUUAACUCGUUCCGAAUUAAGAAGAGAAGCGCCGUCAGGCCCCGCCAGUACUGCGAUCGGAGACGUCGUGGG